GUGCUUGCUUUGGCAGCACAUGUUCUAAAAUUAGAAUACUUCAGGGAAGAUUAGCAUCUCUCUUGUACAAGAAUGACAUGCGAAUUCAUGAAGUAUUCCGUAUUUUU
ensembl:snRNA U6 U6 spliceosomal RNA